AGUAACACGUGGAUAACCUACCUAUAAGACUGGGAUAACUUCGGGAAACCGGAGCUAAUACCGAAUGAUAUUUUGAACCGCAUGGUUCAAAAGUGAAAGACGGUCUUGCUGUCACUUAUAGAUGGAUCCGCGCUGCAUUAGCUAGUUGGUAAGGUAACGGCUUACCAAGGCAACGAUGCAUAGCCGACCUGAGAGGGUGAUCGGCCACACUGGAACUGAGACACGGUCCAG
rnacentral:rRNA from 1 species